rnacentral:rRNA from 1 species
UACGUAGGGUGCGAGCGUUAAUCGGAAUUACUGGGCGUAAAGCGUGCGCAGGCGGUUUUGUAAGCCAGAUGUGAAAUCCCCGGGCUUAACCUGGGAAUGGCAUUUGGGACUGCAAGGCUCGAGUGCGGCAGAGGAGACUGGAAUUCCUGGUGUAGCAGUGAAAUGCGUAGAUAUCAGGAGGAACACCAGUGGCGAAGGCGGUCCCCUGGGCCGGAACUGACGCUGAGGCGCGAAAGCGUGGGUAGCAAACGGG